GAUGAACGCUGGCGGCGUGCCUAACACAUGCAAGUCGAGCGGCAGCGAGGGGUGCUUGCACCCUGUCGGCGAGCGGCGGACGGCUGAGUAACGCGUGGGAACGUGCCCCAAAGUGAGGAAUAACUGCCCGAAAGGGUAGCUAAUACCGCAUAUUAUCUUCGGAUCAAAGGAUUUAUCCGCUUUGGGAGCGGCUCGCGUCGGAUUAGGUAGUUGGUGAGGUAAUGGCUCACCAAGCCGACGAUCCGUAGCUGGUCGGAGAGGAUGACCAGCCAGACUGGAACUGGGACACGGUCCGGACUCCUACGGAGGGCGGCGGUGGGGAAUCUGCCACAAUGGGCGAAGGCCUGAUGGAGCAACGCCGGGUGCAGGAGGAGGGCCUACGGGUUGUAAACUGCUUUUAUAAGUGAGAAAUAGAACGGUAACUUAUGAAUAAGGAUCGGCUAACUACGU
rnacentral:rRNA from 1 species